rnacentral:rRNA from 1 species
AUUGAACGCUGGCGGCAGGCUUAACACAUGCAAGUCGAGCGGAGAGAGGUAGCUUGCUACUGAUCUUAGCGGCGGACGGGUGAGUAAUGCUCAGGAAUCUGCCUAUUAGUGGGGGACAACAUUUCGAAAGGAAUGCUAAUACCGCAUACGUCCUACGGGAGAAAGCAGGGGAUCUUCGGACCUUGCGCUAAUAGAUGAGCCUAAGUCGGAUUAGCUAGUUGGUGGGGUAAAGGCCUACCAAGGCGACGAUCUGUAGCGGGUCUGAGAGGAUGAUCCGCCACACUGGGACUGAGACACGGCCCAGACUCCUACGGGAGGCAGCAGUGGGGAAUUUUGGACAAUGGGGGCAACCCUGAUCCAGCAAUGCCGCGUGAGUGAAGAAGGCCUUCGGGUUGUAAAGCUCUUUUGUCCGGGAAGAAAUCCCACCUGCUAAUACCGGGUGGGGAUGACGGUACUGGAAGAAUAAGCACCGGCUAACUACGUGCCAGCAGCCGCCGUAAAAC